UACGAAGGGGGCUAGCGUUGCUCGGAAUGACUGGGCGUAAAGGGCGCGUAGGCGGUGGACACAGUCAGGCGUGAAAUUCCUGGGCUCAACCUGGGGGCUGCGUUUGAUACGUGUUUGCUAGAGUGGGGAAGAGGGUCGUGGAAUUCCCAGUGUAGAGGUGAAAUUCGUAGAUAUUGGGAAGAACACCGGUGGCGAAGGCGGCGACCUGGUCCUUGACUGACGCUGAGGCGCGAAAGCGUAGGGAGCAAACAGG
rnacentral:rRNA from 1 species